UUGCAACCACAUCACGUUGAAACACUGGUUCGCGUACGAUCACCGAAGUUAAGCAACGUGGAGCCUAGUUAGUACCUAAUGAGUGACUGCUUGGUAAUACCAAGUGCUGUAA